rnacentral:rRNA from 1 species
AUGAAGCAUGCCCCUGGUCCAUUGAGCAGGCCAGUAUGGCGGCACAUUGUGAUAUCCAAUCACCCAAACACUACCACUACUGGCUCCAACAGGUGCCAAAGGGCAAAGGGGUAG